AUUGCCGCUGGUGGCAGGAGGCUGCGAGGAGCCGGCGCGGUCGCAGUCUCCACGGCGCAGGCCCACGGUAGCGCAGCCGCUCUGAGUUCCUGGUCCAGAACUUUACACAGAAAAGGUGCUCAAAGGAUAUUUGUUUAAUGAAUGUGGUAUGCUGACAUUUAAACAGGACAAAACUUGGUGCCUUUGAACCCUUGUGCACUUUUUAGUUAGAUCUUUAUUAACAUGCUAUGCCACUGCAGGGAGGGAGCAGGAAAAGCAUGAUACACAAUUUAAGACAAGUGCCACCAUAGGCUACUGUUGGCAAACAAGAGCUCCACCAAACUUUUUAAAGUGAAGAAGCAACAGUCUGAGCCAUUUUUCUCACCAGUGGCAGGAGGGGGAGACUUCCACCAGCAACAUGGAAUCUUCAGUGGAUGCAGCUGACCAACCCUCCUGACUUCUCAGUCUUUUCCCACCACUGCUCACCCUUUAUGUUCAGAUGUAUUCAGCACUAGAUAACCAUACUUAUUAACU
rnacentral:lncRNA from 1 species